AUUGAACGCUGGCGGCAGGCCUAACACAUGCAAGUCGAACGAGUGGCGGACGGGUGAGGAAUGUCUGGGAAACUGCCUGAUGGAGGGGGAUAACUACUGGAAACUGUAGCUAAUACCGCAUACCAUCAAAUUUGCCCAGAUGGGAUUAGAUUUUGGGUGGGGUAACGGCUCACCAAGGGGACGAUCCCUAGCUGGUCUGAGAGGAUGACCAGCCCGACUGGAACUGUGACACGGCCCCGACUCUUACGGGAGGCAGCAGUGGGGAAUAUUGCACAAUGGGCGCAAGACUGAUGCAGCCAUGCCGCGUGUAUGAAGCAGGACUGCGGGUUGAAAAGUGCUUUCAGCGGGGAGGCGUUACCCGCAGAAGAAGCAACGGCUAACUCCGUGCCAGCAGCCGCGGUAAUAC
rnacentral:rRNA from 1 species